rnacentral:lncRNA from 1 species
GUUAAAUAGAUUUUUUCAAAAUAGUGAUAUCUGAUUUAAAAAAAAUGUAGUUGUAUGUAAUAAAGAAUCAUAAUAAAGAUUAGAGUCUGCCGCCAUAAAGUAGGGGGAGCUAUAAAUAGCACCCUGGGGUCACACUCAGAGAACCAUAAAUAUACAGACCUAGAACUUGAUCACUUAGCUUUCUCCUGAGUCGAGUGUUAUCAUUGUGCUUAUUUCAAGUAUAGUUAGUGUUCACUAUGGGGCUUCGGUAAAACUAUCCUAGGCCACCAUCAAUAUUCUCAAAGCAAUAACGCUCUAGACAAAAUCGGUGGUUGGGGGAGACGCCAAUCCAAACAUCGUUGUAGCAAUGCAAAUCCAGUUACAGAAGCUGCAACAAUAAAACGAAGCCCUACAAGCUUCAAUCAACAUGAUCCAACAACAACAGGACGAGCUCCACCAUAACAAUGAGGAGACGGAGGAAUUGGAUCCCCAACCCUUUUGGCGGAGAUCUGGAAUGUGCCAGUUCUCAAAAUUUUCAAACCACCCUCACAGUCCACUUUCAAUGGAAGGAAUGACCCAGUCG